CAUAGCAGUCGUACAGGUAUCCGUAGGGGUGGAUUAGUGGCGAACGGGUGAGUAACACGUGAGCAACCUGCCCUUGACUCUGGGAUAAGCCUGGGAAACUGGGUCUAAUACCGGAUAGUACCCUCUGCCGCAUGGUGGGGGGUGGAAAGCCUUGUGCGGUCUUGGAUGGGCUCGCGGCCUAUCAGCUUGUUGGUGGGGUGAUGGCCUACCAAGGCGACGACGGGUAGCCGGCCUGAGAGGGUGACCGGCCACACUGGGACUGAGACACGGCCCAGACUCCUACGGGAGGCAGCAGUGGGGAAUAUUGCACAAUGGGCGCAAGCCUGAUGCAGCGACGCCGCGUGGGGGAUGACGGCCUUCGGGUUGUAAACCCCUUUCGGCAGGGAACAAGCCGCUUCGGUGGUGAGGGUACCUGCGGAAGAAGCGCCGGCUAACUACGUGCCAGCAGCCGCGGUAAUACGUAGGGCGCGAGCGUUAUCCGGAAUUAUUGGGCGUAAAGAGCUCGUAGGCGGUUUGUCGCGUCUGCUGUGAAAGCCCGGGGCUCAACCCCGGGUCUGCAGUGGGUACGGGCAGGCUGGAGUGCAGUAGGGGAGACUGGAAUUCCUGGUGUAGCGGUGAAAUGCGCAGAUAUCAGGAGGAACACCGAAUGGCGAAGGCAGGUCUCUUGGGCUGUAACUGGAC
rnacentral:rRNA from 1 species